rnacentral:rRNA from 1 species
CCUACGGGGCGCAGCAGUGGGGAAUAUUGCGCAAUGGGGGGAACCCUGACGCAGCAACGCCGCGUGAAUGAAGAAGGCUUUCGAGUCGUAAAAUUCUGUCCUCAGGGAAGAAGAAGUGACGGUACCUGAGGAGGAAGCCCCGGCUAACUACGUGCCAGCAGCCGCGGUAACACGGGGGUUGCGAGCGUUGUCCGGAAUUACUGGGCGUAAAGGGCUCGUAGGCGGUAACUCAAGUCAGUUGUGAAAACCGACGGCUUAACCGGAGGAUUGCAGUUGAUACUGAGUUACUUGAGGCAAGGAGAGGCAGGCGGAAUUCCUAGUGUAGCGGUGAAAUGCGUAGAUAUUAGGAGGAACACCAGUGGCGAAGGCGGCCUGCUGGACAUCAACUGACGCUGAUGCGCGAAAGCGCGGGGAGCAAACAGGAUUAGAUACCCUAGUAG